AUUGAACGCUGGCGGCAGGCUUAACACAUGCAAGUCGAACGAGUGGCGGACGGGUGAGUAAUGUCUGGGAAACUGGCUGAUGGAGGGGGAUAACUACUGGAAACGGUCGCUAAUACCGCAUACCAUCGGAUGUGCCCAGAUGGGAUUAGCUAGUUGGUGGGGUAAAGGCCUACCUAGCCGACGAUCCCUAGCUGGUCUGAGAGGAUGACCAGCCACACCGGAACUGAGACACGGCCCAGACUCCUACGGGAGGCAGCAGUGGGGAAUAUUGCACAAUGGGCGCAAGCCUGAUGCAGCCAUGCCGCGUGUAUGAAGAAGGCCUUCGGGUUGUAAAGUACUUUCAGUGUUGAGGCGUUAAACGCAGAAGAAGCACCGGCUAACUCCGUGCCAGCAGCCGCGGUAAUAC
rnacentral:rRNA from 1 species